ensembl:snRNA U6 U6 spliceosomal RNA
GUGCUCACUUUGGCAGCACAUAUACUAAAAUUGGAACGAUACAGAGAAGAUUAGCAUGGCCCCUGUGCAAGGACAAGUAACAGAAAUCCCCCCUCUCAUG